rnacentral:rRNA from 1 species
GAGUUUGAUCCUGGCUCAGAUUGAACGCUGGCGGCAGGCCUAACACAUGCAAGUCGAACGGUAACAGAAAGAAGCUUGCUUCUUUGCUGACGAGUGGCGGACGGGUGAGUAAUGUCUGGGAAACUGCCUGAUGGAGGGGGAUAACUACUGGAAACGGUAGCUAAUACCGCAUAACGUCGCAAGACCAAAGAGGGGGACCUUCGGGCCUCUUGCCAUCGGAUGUGCCCAGAUGGGAUUAGCUUGUUGGUGGGGUAACGGCUCACCAAGGCGACGAUCCCUAGCUGGUCUGAGAGGAUGACCAGCCACACUGGAACUGAGACACGGUCCAGACUCCUACGGGUGGCAGCAGUGGGGAAUAUUGCACAAUGGGCGCAAGCCUGAUGCAGCCAUGCCGCGUGUAUGAAGAAGGCCUUCGGGUUGUAAAGUACUUUCAGCGGGGAGGAAGGGAGUAAAGUUAAUACCUUUACUCAUUGACGUUACCCGCAGAAGAAGCACCGGCUAACUCCGUGCCAGCAGCCGCGGUAAUACGGAGGGUGCAAGCGUUAAUCGGAAUUACUGGGCGUAAAGCGCACGCAGGCGGUUUGUUAAGUCAGAUGUGAAAUCCCCGGGCUCCACCUGGGAACUGCAUCUGAUACUGGNCAGCUUGAGUCUCGUAGAGGGGGGUAGAAUUCAGGUGUAGCGGUGAAAUGCGUANAGAUCUGGAGGAAUACCGGUGGCGAAGGCGUCCCCCUGGACGAAGACGGACGCUCAGGCGCGAAAGCUUGGGGAGCAAACAGGAUUAGAUACCGUGGUAGUCCACGCCGUAAACGGUGUCGACUUGGAGGUUGUGCCCUUGAGGCGUGGCUUCCGGAGCUAACGCGUUAAGUCGACCGCCUGGGGAGUACGGCCGCAAGGUUAAAACUCAAAUGAAUUGACGGGGGCCCGCACAAGCGGUGGAGCAUGUGGUUUAAUUCGAUGCAACGCGAAGAACCUCACCUGGUCUUGACAUCCACGGAAGUUUUCAGAGAUGAGAAUGUGCCUUCGGGAACCGUGAGACAGGUGCUGCAUGGCUGUCGUCAGCUCGUGUUGUGAAAUGUUGGGUUAAGUCCCGCAACGAGCGCAACCCUUAUCCUUUGUUGCCAGCGGUCCGGCCGGGAACUCAAAGGAGACUGCCAGUGAUAAACUGGAGGAAGGUGGGGAUGACGUCAAGUCAUCAUGGCCCUUACGACCAGGGCUACACACGUGCUACAAUGGCGCAUACAAAGAGAAGCGACCUCGCGAGAGCAAGCGGACCUCAUAAACUGCCUCGUAGUCCGGAUUGGAGUCUGCAACUCGACUCCAUGAAGUCGGAAUCGCUAGUAAUCGUGGAUCAGAAUGCCACGGUGAAUACGUUCCCGGGCGUGUACACACCGCCCGUC